CGACUCUGGUUUCUCUUCAUUACGCACAAGCCUUUCGCCUUUACUAAAGACUUCCGUGGAGGAAACACUUACGAGUUCAACGUAUUUUGGAAGGGCUUUGCUUUCUGGCAGAGC
rnacentral:snRNA from 1 species